rnacentral:rRNA from 1 species
UACGAAGGGGGGCUAGCGUUGCUCGGAAUCACUGGGCGUAAAGCGCACGUAGGCGGAUCUUUAAGUCAGGGGUGAAAUCCCGAGGCUCAACCUCGGAACUGCCCUUGAUACUGGGGAUCUCGAGUCCGGAAGAGGUUGGUGGAACUCCGAGUGUAGAGGUGAAAUUCGUAGAUAUUCGGAAGAACACCAGUGGCGAAGGCGGCCAACUGGUCCGGCACUGACGCUGAGGUGCGAAAGCGUGGGGAGCAAACAGG